GAUAAACGCUGGCGGCGUGCAUGAGACAUGCAAGUCGAACGAAGGAUCGGGCUUGCUCGAUCCUUAGUGGCCGACGGCUGAGUAACGCGUAGGUGACCUACCCCGAAGUGGGGAAUAACUGUCCGAAAGGGUGGCUAAUACCGCAUGUGGUCGCACGUUCAUUCGUGCGAGUAAAGCCGCAAGGCGCUUCGGGAGGGGCCUGCGUCCGAUUAGCUCGUUGGUGGGGUAAUGGCUUACCAAGGCGACGAUCGGUAGGUGGUCUGAGAGGACGAUCACCCAGACUGGGACUGAGACACGGCCCAGACUCCUACGGGAGGCAGCAGUCGGGAAUUUUGCUCAAUGGGGGAAACCCUGAAGCAGCAACGCCGCGUGAGGGAUGAAGGCCCUCGGGUUGUAAACCUCUUUUGUCAGGGACGAUGAUGACGGUACCUGGCGAAUAAGCCACGGCUAACUACGUG
rnacentral:rRNA from 1 species